GGUGAACUGCCAAGCUCUUGAUUAUUCACCAAUCGGUCUGCUUAAUUAUCUCCAAUCUUUGAUUGACCCUGACCUGCAAAGUCAACUGUGUAUAAAGGAGCCUCAUAGGUUUGCGAACUUUAACCAACCAUCUACUGGAAGAAGUGAUUCUUCGGUGAACAACCCAGGCAUAAGGUUGCUUUUGCUUGGAAAGUGAAAGAGCACUACUAUACCAGAGACAACACCCUCACAAAAGCAGUCCAAGCAACCUAAACAGCGUGUGAUGGAGAUGAAGCCCGAAGCUUCAGAAAAAGGGCGAAAAAGAAAACACCAAGAUGAAAGUAUUACAGAGAUAGAUUCUGAAGCUUUGGGACAAGAUCCAAAUAGGAAAUGCCAGGAUGGAACAACGAUGGUAUUUAAGGAGCCCGGCAAGGCUCAGAAGAUGACCCCUCAGGAGCCUCAAGACCUAAAGCUUCCUAUAGAACAGCCUAGCAAGGGUCAGGUACGGAAACCCCAGGGAGAGACUCCAAUCCAACGAAAACCCCUAGAGUUGACAGAAGGUCCUCCAGAGCAGGCUGUGACAGGGAGGGCGCCUGCUGAUGGUGGCAAGGGUCGCAAGCGGCCCUAUUCCGCCAUCCAGGAAAACGAUCAAAGCCCCCAAAAGGAAGAGAAAAGAAGGUUGCUUCAAAACCUUAAGCAAAUCCUUAUAAAGGCCGGGAAGAUCAAAGGGGGCNAGUCAGAAGACAGUCAUGGAUCAGAAACAACUCUUAGAGAGCCAGAACCAUCAACUGUUGUGGCUCCAAAAGAACCUCUUUCACCAGAGGAGAGAGAGAAGUGUUGUUCUGAGGAGAAAGCUUUUACAGAGACUAAAGGUCAUGUAAAGGGUGAAGGAAGAAGGGGGGACAGCUUGGAUCUGGGAACACAGGCUCAGAUCAUCCUGGAUAGUGGCAGAGGCAAUAGCUUACUCCCCAACAAGAUGGCAGUACUUGCAGCAGAGAAAAAGCCUCUCAGAGACCAAGAAAAGGGCAGAGAAAUGGAUCAAAUUCUUGAUGUUACAGAGAACAUGGAGAAGGAAAUUGAGAAUGCACUGGGUCCAGGACCCCAAGAGGAAAUCCUAAGUUCCAGAUUCAAGUUACAAAUCACCAGAGGCGAUAUCCAGACCCUGGAGAACGGUCAGUGGCUCAAUGAUGAGGUCAUCAAUUUCUACAUGAACCUUCUGGUUGAGAGAAAUGAAAACCAAGGCUAUCCGGCUCUUCAUGUCUUUAGCACUUUCUUUUACCCCAAGCUAAAGCAUAGUGGUUACAGUUCCGUGAAAAGAUGGACUCGCGGCAUCAACCUCUUUGAGAAAGAACUCAUCUUGGUGCCUAUUCACCAGAGGUUACAUUGGAGCCUGGUGGUAAUCGAUAUAAGAAAACAAAGUAUUGNAUACCUCGAUUCCAUGGGACAGACAGGGAAGUCUAUCUGUGAGACCAUCUUCCAAUAUUUACAAGAUGAGAGCAAGACACGCAGGAACAUUGAGCUGGACCCUUUGGAGUGGAAGCAGUACAGUAUGACAUCAGAGGAGAUUCCUCUGCAAAUGAAUGGGAGUGACUGUGGAAUGUUUACCUGUAAAUAUGCAGAUUACAUCUCUAGGGACCAGCCUCUGACCUUUUCUCAGCAACACAUGCCCACCUUCAGGAAGAGGAUGGUCUGGGAAAUCCUGCACAGUCAAUUANUGUAACAACAUCCACCUGGUUGCUAUGGUCCCCAUCCCUGAACUUUUCCAUCACUGUUUCUAAUAUCUCAGGUAGGAUGAGUUGAAGAGAUUUAAAACANCUGUCUCAUUGGAUAAAGCCCUGUCUUCAAUAUAGUCCUAAUGUGGGAUGUGAGACUGAUGCCCUAAUGCCAUCUCUAGGAUGCAUGCAACUAUUGCAAGCUUAGAAACUGCUGUU